rnacentral:rRNA from 1 species
UACGAAGGGUGCAAACGUUGCUCGGAAUUAUUGGGCGUAAAGCGCACGUAGGCGGCUUUGUAAGUUGGAUGUGAAAUCCCUCGGCUCAACCAAGGAAGUGCAUCCAAAACUGCGGAGCUUGAGUACUUAAGAGGAUCGCGGAAUUCCUGGUGUAGCGGUGAAAUGCGUAGAUAUCAGGAGGAACACCGGCGGUGUAGACGGCUUUCUGGACCGUAGCCUGACGCUGAGACACGAAAGACGUGGGUAGCAAACAGG